AUUGAACGCUGGCGGCAGGCCUAACACAUGCAAGUCGAGCGAGCGGCGGACGGGUGAGUAAUGUCUGGGAAACUGCCUGAUGGAGGGGGAUAACUACUGGAAACGGUAGCUAAUACCGCAUACCAUCAGAUGUGCCCCGAUGGGAUAAGCUAGUGGGGGGGGUAACGGCUCACCUAGGCGACGAUCCCUAGCUGGUCUGAGAGGAUGCCCAGCCCCUCUGGAACUGAGACACGGUCCAGACUCCGACGGGAGGCAGCAGUGGGGAAUAUUGCACAAUGGGCGCAAGCCUGAUGCAGCCAUGCCGCGUGUAUGAAGAAGGCCUUCGGGUUGUAAAGUACUUUCAGCGGGGAGGCGUUACCCGCAGAAGAAGCACCGGCUAACUCCGUGCCAGCAGCCGCGGAAUUC
rnacentral:rRNA from 1 species